rnacentral:rRNA from 1 species
UACGGGGGGGGCAAGCGUUGUUCGGAAUUACUGGGCGUAAAGGGCUCGUAGGCGGCCAACUAAGUCGGAUGUGAAAUCCCCAGGCUUAACCUGGGAACUGCAUCCGAUACUGGAUGGCUUGAAUUCGGGAGAGGGAUGCAGAAUUCCAGGUGUAGCGGUGAAAUGCGUAGAUAUCUGGAGGAAUACCGGUGGCGAAGGCGGCAUCCUGGACCGAGAUUGACGCUGAUGAGCGAAAGCUAGGUGAGCAAACGGG